CACACCAGAAUUGUACUACAGAGGGAUAAAAAAAAGAGAAAGAUGAGGAAAACCACAAAAACGCAUUGGAAACUGUAAAACGAUACCUCAGUUGUGCUGAACUUUGCACGGACUACACUUCUGGAUAAAUUACCUCAGAGUGUAGAGCCACUAUCUCUUCAUCCAGAUAUCCCACAUCUGCAACCUACAGCAGAAAACACACUUUUAAAUACCUGCAAGUCGUGCUGGAUGCUGGUCUUGAAAAAAAUCAGCUUAGCUCGAAGCUGCUGCGACUGGGAGAACAGCAAGUUCUUGUACCGCGUUAAGUUGGUGUUGUAGCGCAGCAGGCUCAGCCUACACAAACACAAACACAAGACAGUGUGCGGGCGGUCUGCGUGGGUCGAGGGAGAUUCCCGUCUCCAGCAGCAGCUCUUGACUCAGCGGGGAGAUGUGUGUCUGAGUGUGCGUCUCCAGGCGAAGCUGCAGGGAGUGUAAGCUCUCCUCAGCACCCA